UACGGGGGGUGCAAGCGUUGUUCGGAUUUAUUGGGCGUAAAGAGCGUGUAGGCGGUCAGGUAGGUCGGUUGUGAAAACUCGAGGCUCAACCUCGAGACGCCGAUGGAAACCAUCUGGCUAGAGUCCGGAAGAGGAGAGUGGAAUUCCCGGUGUAGCGGUGAAAUGCGCAGAUAUCAGGAAGAACACCCGUGGCGAAGGCGGCUCUCUGGGACGGUACUGACGCUGAGACGCGAAAGCGUGGGGAGCGAACAGG
rnacentral:rRNA from 1 species